rnacentral:lncRNA from 1 species
AUCAUUGCCCUUCUCUGAGAAUUUUGACUGACUUUGAAAAUCUCCCUGGAUGCCGGGCGAGGUGGCUCACGCCUGUAAUCCCAGCACUUGGGGAGGCCGAGAUGGUCAGAUCACGAGGUCAGGAGAUUGAGAUCAUCCUGGCUAACAUGGUGAAACCCCGUCUCUAUUAAAAAAAAAAAAAAUACAAAACAUUAGCCGGGCGUGGUGGCAGGCGCCUGUAGCCCCAGACUACUCGGGAGGCUGAGACGGGAGAAUGGUGUGAACCUGGGAGGCGGAGCCUGCAGUGAGCUGAGAUCGCGCCACUGCGAUCCAGCCUGGGCGGACAGAGAGAGACUCUGUCUCAGAAAAAAAAAAAAAAAGAAAGAAAAAGAAAAUCUCCCUGGAGUGUUUUCAGUAAAAUUCAAAUGGAUGUCAAGUCCCUUUGGGAUUCUACCAAAUACUGGUUUGAAAGGAAGAUUCAAAAUUAUAUAAGACGUUCUAGAUUCAAACUAAACUUAAAAUGAAUAUCUGCCGGGCGUGAUGGCUCAUGCCUGUAAUCCCACCACUUUGGGAGGCUGAGGAGACUGUAAAAUCAGGAAGUAUAUCUAAGUCACCUCCAAUAGCCGUAACUCUACCUUGUCCAGUAAAAGGAGAUAUUAAAAUACAGACCUUACUCAUUUUGAAGAUUAAAUUGUAAAGGAUCAUUUUGGAGUCAUACCGCCUUUAGAGGUAGUCAUGGAGACCUAGAUUUCAAACUGAAACUUCUGUUGAUUGGUUUCACUGUAAGAAGUUUUACUGUUAUCUAAGCCCCGAAAAUGAUUUCUGGAACCUGACUCAUUUAUCUCCACUCUCUAAAUGACACUAGGUUGAGUAAUCUAACUUUUUAAACAAGUUAAUAC